AGCGAACGUUUGCGGCGGGCUUAACACAUGCAAGUCGAACGGGCUGUUCCUUCGGGGGCAGUCAGUGGCGCACGAGUGCGUAACACGUAGGUAAUCAACCCUUCAGCUCGGGAUAACACUUCGAAAGGAGUGCUAAUACCGGAUGUGAUGCAGGGCUCUUCGGAGUGCUGCAGGAAAGAUCCGCAAGGGUCACUGAAGGACGAGCCUGCGGCCCAUCAGCUAGUUGGCGAGGUAAUGGCUCACCAAGGCGAAGACGGGUAGCUGGUCUGAGAGGAUGAUCAGUCACACUGGAACUGAGACACGGUCCAGACUCCUACGGGAGGCAGCAGUGGGGAAUAUUGCGCAAUGGGCGAAAGCCUGACGCAGCCACGCCGCGUGAGCGAUGAA
rnacentral:rRNA from 1 species